GGGGCUGUAGCUCAGCUGGGAGAGCACCUGCUUUGCAAGCAGGGGGUCAGCGGUUCGAUCCC
rnacentral:tRNA from 1 species